UCGGUGGUCUAGAGGAAAUGUACUUGCCUCGAAACCUCGGGGUCCCGGGUUCGAUUCCCGGUGGAGGAA
rnacentral:tRNA from 1 species